rnacentral:rRNA from 1 species
UGGGGAAUUUUGGACAAUGGGCGAAAGCCUGAUCCAGCAAUGCCGCGUGUGUGAAGAAGGCCUUCGGGUUGUAAAGCACUUUUGUCCGGAAAGAAAUCCUUGGCUCUAAUACAGUCGGUGGAUGACGGUACCGGAAGAAUAAGCACCGGCUAACUACGUGCCAGCAGCCGCGGUAAUACGUAGGGUGCAAGCGUUAAUCGGAAUUACUGGGCGUAAAGCGUGCGCAGGCGGUUUGCUAAGACCGAUGUGAAAUCCCGGGCUCAACCUGGGAACUGCAUUGGUGACUGGCAGGCUGGAGUAUGGCAGAGGGGGGUAGAAUUCCACGUGUAGCAGUGAAAUGCGUAGAGAUGUGGAGGAAUACCGAUGGCGAAGGCAGCCCCCUGGGCCAAUACUGACGCUCAUGCACGAAA